GGGAGAGACAAUGGAAGCAGAGAUUUUAGUAAUACAGUUUCCAGCCAAGGAACGUUCAAAAUGGCCAACAACCACCAGAAGUUAGGAAGAGGCAAGGAAGGAUGCUUCUGGAGAACCUGCAGAGAGGGCAUGGCCCUUCCCAACACCUUGAUUUUGGACUUCUAGCCUCAAAAUUGGGAGGUCCUUAAAAUUGGAGAAUCUUUCCCAGCUUUGGUCAAAGAGAGAGAUGUGACUGUGGGAGAAUGAUUAGAGAUGCAACAUUGCUGGUCUGAAGAUGGAGGACGGGUCCAGGAGACCAGGAAUGUGCACAGCCUCUAGAAGCUGAAAAAGGCAAGGAAAUUAACUUCCUCCUAGUAUCUCCAGAAAAUAAUGCAGUGACUUUAGCCCAGUGAGAUCCAUGUUGGCAUUCUAACCUAUAGAAUUGUAAGAUGAUUGUUUUAA
rnacentral:lncRNA from 1 species